AACGAACGCUAGCGGCAUGCCUAACACAUGCAAGUCGAACGAGACCUUCGGGUCUAGUGGCGCACGGGUGCGUAACGCGUGGGAACCUGCCCUUAGGUUCGGAAUAACUCCCCGAAAGGGGUGCUAAUACCGGAUAAUGUCUUCGGACCAAAGAUUUAUCGCCUUUGGAUGGGCCCGCGUUGGAUUAGCUAGUUGGUAGGGUAAAAGCCUACCAAGGCGACGAUCCAUAGCUGGUCUGCGAGGAUGAUCAGCCACCCUGGGACUGAGACACGGCCCAGACUCCUACGGGAGGCAGCAGUGGGGAAUAUUGGAAAAUGGGCGAAAGCCUGAUCCAGCAAUGCCGCGUGAGUGAUGAAGGCCUUAGGGUUGUAAAGCUCUUUUACCCGGGAUGAUAAUGACAGUACCGGGAGAAUAAGCUCCGGCUAACUCCGUG
rnacentral:rRNA from 1 species